AAUCAGACAGAGUAGUUCAGAAUUAACCCAUAAAAAACCCCCACAAAAAUAUGCCUUUCCUUUACUCAUCUAUGACAGUAAACUGAAUAUCUUUGGGUUGUGAACAAAACAAGACAUUUGAUAAGUUAUUUUAGGUUUUGGGAAACACAGCUCAACAUUUUUGGAUGUUUUGCGGACCACAUGAAUAAUCGAUAAAUUGCGAAACUGAUCAGCAAAUUAAUGAAAAUUAUCUUUAGUACGGCCCGUAAGCAUACUAAUACUCUGAGCGAGGCAUGACCUUUUCAUAACUUCUUUAAUUCAAACUCACUGAAAUCAAAGGGCUGUUUGUGUUGAUGACAUUCCAGUAAUCUGCCACGCAUUACAUGGCACACAGCUGACAUGAAGAAGUGCAAUAGGUUUUUCAUUUUAAGGCUCAUUUGGUGGUCUGAUUUUAAUCUUGGAAAAUCCAAUGCGGGUUGACAUGAAGUAACAUCUGUCUGCUUUCAUGAAUGGCUCCUUGCAGCCACAUUUAUCAUGAGUGUAACAGUUGCAGAGACCAGAAAAUGGCAGCCUUGUUGUGAGAUGUGUUCCUGAAAUUAAAUUGGAUGCAGUUCUGGAGGAGAAUCAGUUCUGCGUCGUGUUGGGAGUUUUGGUGGGUUAGCAUUCAAGUCUUGUCAAGCUGCCUUCAGCAACAUCGUCUUCCAUUUUUCAGCAUCGCAUAGAAAGAAAUUCAGUAAAAAUACAGCCCUGCUGCAUUUUCUGAGCCAAAUGGCGAAAGGCUUUCAAACAAACUUGAUCAUGACACAGAUUAGUAAAUGCAUUUAAUAUUUUUGUGAUAUUUAUGAUAUUUCAGUUAGUAGCCUAGAGGAAAGGACUCCAUUUAUACAUUUACACCAUCUACUAGUUUUUUCUAGCUAGCUGGUACCAUGUGGGAUGUAGCUCAGCUUUUUGUUGAUCUAUUUCCGUUCACUCUUGUUAAAUGAGCCAACUCAUUUAACUGAAGUUCAACAGAACUAACUUGUUGGGCGUUUAAAUCAUGUGCGCCUAUUUCAAAGUUUACGAUUUACCAUUUGUAUUUACUGUGAAAAUUUCCAUUGCAAUGCUCAAUAUAGUCAAAUGUUUGCUUUUAUCUGCCUGUUAAUUACAUCCUGAGCAAAUUUCCAUUGUAUUCCUCUCAUUUACCAUAAUUCCAUUUGUGACAUUCAAACCAGAAUUCUAAAGCCAUAUUUCUUUUGUCUUUAAGUCUAAACCUCUAAACAUGUAACACUGUGCUACUCCACUAUUGUCCUCUCCUGUCACUGUGACAUGUCAGAGCUUCAUUCAUUUCUCUGCUGCCAUGUGGAAGGACUCAAGCAACGGUUUUGCAAACUGUUCGCACAAUGUAGUGGCCCUGGAUGAAGUAGUUCAGUGCCAGGUGGAGUGUGACUAAGACUGGUAUGAUUAAG